UGGGGAAUUUGGACCAAGGGCGCAAGCCUGAACCAGCCAUGCCGCGGGGGGGGAGAAGGCCUUUGGGGUGUAAAGCCCUUUCGGCAGGGGAGAAAAACGGUGGGGCAAUACCCCGGGCGGGUUGACGUAACUUGGCAAGAAGCCCCCGGCUACUAACGUCCAGCAGCCGCGGUAAUACGUAGGGUGCGAGCGUUAAUCGGAAUUACUGGGCGUAAAGCGUGCGCAGGCGGUGAUGUAAGACAGAUGUGAAAUCCCCGGGCUCAACCUGGGAACUGCGUUUGUGACUGCAUCACUCGAGUACGGCAGAGGGAGGUGGAAUUCCGCGUGUAGCAGUGAAAUGCGUAGAUAUGCGGAGGAACACCGAUGGCGAAGGCAGCCUCCUGGGCCUGUACUGACGCUCAUGCACGAAAGCGUGGGGAGCAAACA
rnacentral:rRNA from 1 species